AUUGAACGCUGGCGGCAUGCCUAACACAUGCAAGUCGAGCGCCUGUAGCGAUACGGGAGCGGCGCACGGGUGAGUAACGCGUGGGAACCUGCCCUUAGGUUCGGGACAACCGCGGGAAACUGCGGCUGAUACCGGAUGAAGUCCCCGAUAGAGAUAUUGGGGCCCAAAGAUUUAUCGCCUUUGGAGGGGCCCGCGUCGGAUUAGGUAGUUGGUGGGGUAACGGCUCACCAAGCCUGUGAUCCGUAGCUGGUCUGAGAGGAUGAUCAGCCACACUGGGACUGAGACACGGCCCAGACUCCUACGGGAGGCAGCAGUGGGGAGUAUUGGACAAUGGGGGCAACCCUGAUCCAGCAAUGCCGCGUGGGUGAUGAAGGCCUUCGGGUUGUAAAGCCCUUUCGGCGGGGACGAUGAUGACGGUACCCGCAGAAGAAGCCCCGGCUAACUUCGUGCCAGCCGCCGCAGUAAGAC
rnacentral:rRNA from 1 species